UACGUAGGUGGCAAGCGUUGUUCGGAAUUACUGGGCGUAAAGGGCGCGUAGGCGGCACGGCAAGUCAGGAGUGAAAGGCCUGGGCUCAACCGAGGAACUGCUUUUGAGACUGCCGAGCUAGAGUACGUUCGGGGCAGAGGGAAUUCCUGGUGUAGCGGUGAAAUGCGUAGAGAUCAGGAAGAACACCGGUGGCGAAGGCGCUCUGCUAGGCCGUAACUGACACUGAGGGACGAAAGCUAGGGGAGCGAAUGGG
rnacentral:rRNA from 1 species